GGCGAGUGGAGAGCUGGGAGCGCGCCGCGCAGUCUGCGCACUGUUUGGCGUUGGCAACCCUUGGUGUGAUCCCUGCUACCCUGGCCGGCCGAGCAGCGCUGGUCGCCGCUCUGGGAUCCUCCACCCUGAGGAAGGAGGCACGCACCAGGAGGAGAGCCUCGGGAACAUCGGAGGAAAAGGGGACGCGCCCUAGAAAAUGUUGGAGACUUUUCUCAGCAAGAAAGUGUUCCUUUUCCUUGGAGGUCCAGAUGUUACUUGCGGCAGAUGCUUCCCGCAUUUUCUUGCACUGGUGAUGCACCCAGUCAGAGGUAGUGGAGUGAAAAAUAACAGAAGGGACUGAGCGUGCUCUUGGCAACCGUUUCGAAAAGGAGCUAGCCCAGCCUGAGAGUAGGCAUCCUUGACUGACUGACUAUUCAGCUCUUUAAAAAUUCUUGGUGUUUUUGUCUUGUUUUGUUCCUAUUUCUGGUCGUCAGAGCCAUCUAUAAGCUGAUCUCUUUAAGCACUUUUAUAUCGUGAUCAGUCGGUGGGGUUCGAUUCACAAGUUGGCCUGCCCUUCUAGGAGACCUGCCUGCCUUCUUUCUCGGGCAGUUUGGAUUUGACUGAGCCAUGUGUGCAAGUAGGAAGUUCUGUAAGUGGUCAACUUUUUAAGGCUUCCCUGUGAUCUCUGUUCUACUCAUACACAGACACACAGGCGCAAAGCUUUGAUUGUAAUUAUGAACUUAGAACUGGUUUAGGCCAUCAGAUUUAUUUCAAGGUUAGGCUCAUUUUAUUGCUCUUUUUAAUAAAGGAAUAGUGAUUAUUGCUUUAAUUUUAGUUGCUGUGAGGAUGUAUAGAAAUGUGAAUCAGCAGUGAAAUGUGUGGGAGUCUGUAUGUUUCUUAAAAUGUCAUAUUUACAAAUGUUUACUUUGUAUCAGUUAGGCUCUUGGAUUGCUGAAGCAAUUGGACUGAUUUCUCUAGAACCAUAUUCUUUUACAGGCUCUAUAAGACUGUCAUUCACAGACUCUGGGUGGAGCAACCUUAAAACACUAGCGGGUAUAAUUACAUAGACUAGAAUAUUAAGUAUACUGUUUUGUGAUGAUAAACUACAAAAUUAUCAUCCUGGAGCUUUUAACCUACUACUUGUAUAAUAGGUUUGAGACAAAAAUAUUAUACACUGUCAUACAAAGAACAUAUGUAAUAGGGAUGCAAGAUAUGAAAAACUGUUAUUCACUGAACAUUGGGAAUAAAGUUCAGUCUAAUCAUGAAAAUUAUCUUGACAUAUACAAAACGAUAUGGAUUGAGGAAAGAUAUUUUAUAUUUAU
rnacentral:lncRNA from 1 species